rnacentral:rRNA from 1 species
GCUUACGGCCACACCUCCCUGAGAACGCCCUAUCCGUACUAUCUCGGAAAGCUAAGCAGGGUCGGGCCGGUUAUGUACUUGGCUGGGAGACCGACUGGGAAUACCAGGUGCUGUAAGCU